rnacentral:tRNA from 1 species
CCGACCUUAGCUCAGUUGGUAGAGCGGAGGACUGUAGUUGUAAAAAAUUGUCAUCCUUAGGUCGCUGGUUCGAAAACGGCAGGUCGGA